rnacentral:rRNA from 1 species
AUUGAACGCUGGCGGCCGGCCUAACACAUGCAAGUCGAACGAGUGGCGGACGGGUGAGUAAUGUCUGGGAAACUGCCCGAUGGAGGGGGAUAACUACUGGAAACGGUAGCUAAUACCGCAUACCAUCGGAUGUGCCCAGAUGGGCUUAGCUAGUAGGGGGGGUAAAGGCUCACCUAGGCGACGAGCCAUAGCUGGUCUGAGAGGAUGAACAGCCACACUGGAACUGAGACACGGUCCAGACUCCUACGGGAGGCAGCAGGGGGGAAGAUUGCACAAUGGGCGCAAGCCUGAUGCAACCAUGCCGCGUGUAUGAAGAAGGCCUUCGGGUUGUAAAGUACGUUCAGCGGGGAGGCGUUACCCGCAGAAGAAGCACCGGCUAACUCCGUGCCAGCAGCCGCGGUAAUUC